CACACACACCCUGAGGGCACCUUCCUCUUCUCGUUUCCUCUUUUAAUGCAAAGGCCCCAAUGCCACCUUCUUCCCCCAAGCCCCCGGGCUCUCCCCAGCUCCUGCCUGCUUCCAGCCCCUUUCUCAGCAGGCCCUGCAGCCCCUCAGGAGGAGUCUCUUUCCGAGCUGAAGGCCCAGCCCUCUCCUUUUCCUGCCCAGCCCCUGACAAAUCAGUGGAUAAAUGAGCAUUCUCACCAUGCUCAGCGUGUGGCAGCCCCUAAGGUGGGGAACAAGGCCCGGAUGGAGCCGCUCCUGCCCUCAAGAGACAGCCUGGAACAGAAGCCAUUAAGGAGAAGGGAUCUUGUAGGUGGGACCCCAACGUCUGCGUCUCUUUCCCCUUCUCUGCCCCGAAGCUGCCCAGACUCUGCCUUUCCCUUCCCCAGGAAGCUCCGGAUUCUCACUCCCAUCACCCUCCCGCUAACUUGGACAUUCUGUGUCCCAAACUCUCCUCCUGCCCCAGGAUCCGAUAAGCUGCUUGGAGAGAAAGUGGGGAGGGCUGAGUAAUGCCAAAUGCGUUUCUGUUUCACCUUUGCUCUUCAGUUCUUUCUCUGUGCCAUGGAGAGAACUCCCGGCCCCAGUCGGUGGGGUAGGAGGGGUAUGGGCUGGGGGGGAGGGGGAGCAGAAGUACCCCCCGGGCCCGGGGCUUCAGCGACCCCCGCCAGGGGAGGGCCUUCCUUCGGGGACAAGGCCCUUAUCUCACAGCCAAGGGGCCCUAAUUUUAAAUAAAUUCUCAUCCCCAAAUGUAAUAAGCAGAAGAAGCCACUGGGGGUCACUCUUGUUACGCUGGAGAUGCCAGAAAGUAACCCAGCCGGUUCUGAGAGCUCUAUGGUCACUGCCUCCCACCCUGGGAGCGACGCGGUGCCCGGAUGUCUCGGGUCUGUCUUCGGAAAGAAACAAGUGGAAGCAGGCCCCGGGACCUUGGCCACCCCUAAUCCCCAGCUCUUGCCCCACUGUCUCUGGUGCCGUGUCUGUGUAAGGAAAGACAUUUUAUUGAUUACAAAUGACAAGGCUUUGAAAGCGUGUGAUGGUUUGGGUGUAAGGAAGCCCUCAGGAGAUAGUUACUCAUCUCUUCCUGACCUUGACUUUGGGACUGCUAUAUUUAUCUGAGCCUCCCCCGGGACAGUCUUGCUCCCAGUGAUUUAUGUGGGGUCACUGAUGCAGGUCAGCUACGGAGGCUCCUCCAUCCUGAAGGGAGGAGAAAUAGAGAGAAGGCCUGAGAACAUCUGCGAGUAGCCCUGGAGACCGCGAGAACUCCCAAUCCCACCUUCUCUGCCCACCCUAGAUCAGUCACUUGGGAGAAGGCCCCGCCCUCCAGACCCGCUUUCCUCUAACACUCCAUGGCUCCCACCUACGACUGCUGAGAACGUGGCCGGGCCCUCCGUCAGUGUUCAGCCGCUGGACUGAUUUCCUGGGACUCCGCUCCCCUCCCCGGGACUGAGUUUUUGCCUUCCUGCCUCAGCCAGGCCGAAGCUUCCCCCGGAGACGGCCCCGAGUCGGGGAGUCAGGCGGCCCCGGUGCAAAGCUCGCUCUUCCUCACGCUGGCUACACUGGGAAGGAAAUGGCAAAACAGCCCUGGCCAGCAGAGGCGAGCUACGGUCCGUGGGAUAACAAGGAGCCGGGCAGGAUUGAGCCCAAAGGUUGCAUCCCUUCUGCUGCUCCUCCUUUUUUUUUGGCUGAGGUUAAGUGACUUGCCCAGGAUCACACACAGCCAGGACGUGUUAAGUGUCUGAGACCAGAUUUGAACUCAGGUCCUCCCGACUGCAGGACUGGCGCUCUACCCACUGCCCCACCUGGCUGCCCUGCCCGUGUGCUCUUGAACGAGUCUCUUAAACUAUUCUUGCCUCAGCAGCUAAAACGAUAAGUGACUGACAAGUUUUGAUAUUAAUUAAUUAAUCAAAUCUCUGAGCAUUUAUUGAGCAUUCCCUGUGGAACGCUAGGGAUUAUUGUAGGUAAUGGCAUUGGUGGAGGGGGUUUCCACACUGGGAGGGGCACGAGCCGAUGGACUCAAGCCCAGAGAGAAAUGCAACAAUGACUGACCAGACACGGGACUCGCAGCGCCCUCGGGCGCUGACCGAUCACUUCUCCAGGGCUUUGGGCCACAGUUCUCUCUGUUUUGUGGAUACCGAGGGAUUUGUUCCAGGCUUUUUGCGGGCCCCUCGGCCCCCAGUCCCCCUGGGCGGGCUCCUGCCCAACCAGGAGCGGAGGCGAGGAAGGGAUCAUGGGAGUCAUUCUCCAAAGAACUUCUCGCCUUCCCGCUGCACGAGGAGGUGUCCGGGACAGAAGGGAACGCCACAACCCAUGGCCUGGCUCCGGACCCCCCGGAGAGAACACGGCAUUCGUCCUCGGGUCUCGGUGAACCAUGACAAGCGUCACAGGCCGAUCCAGGAUUCCUAGGGGAUCCCACUGGGGCGGGGGAUCAGCCACGGGAGGCUGCCUGGGCCGGGGGGCCCCGUGGUCAGGAGGGGCCUGGCCUGAAUCUUGAUCCUUCCCUGUGACCAAGAGGCAGCCGCCGGCUCCAGCCUCAGGAUCUGGUAAUGUGGCUUCUAUUCAUGUCAGCACUUCUUGAAAGGAAUUGAAAGAGUCAAAAGGCAGACAGAGGGACACGGAGAGAAAUAGGAGAAUAAAAGCACAGAGAUACAGAGAAACAGAAAAAGAGGUGAGUAAUCAGUCCUAUGAAAAGAAAUGAUUGUCUCCUGAGGAUCCGAGAAGAAAUAUAUGGCUAACAUCUCCUCCCUUCGGGUACUCCUCACCCUCACUUCAGAAAAUGGUUUCCUUUUUUUUAAAAAUUAUAACUUUAUAUUGACAGAAUCCAUGCCAGGGUAAUUUUUACAGCAUUAUCCCUUGCACUCAUUUCUGUUCCGAUUUUUCCCCUCCGUCCCUCCACCCCCUCCCCCAGAUGGCAAGCAGUCCUAUACAUGUUAAAUAUAUUAUAGUAUAUCCUAGAUACAAUGUAUGUGUGUGGAACCGAACAGUUCUCUUGUUGCACAGGGAGAAUUGGAUUCAGAAAGUAAAAAUAACCCGGGAGGAAAAACAUAAAUGCAAGCAGUUUAUAUUCAUUUCCCAGUGUUCUUUCUUUGGGUGUAGCUGAUUCUGACCAUCAUUGAUCAAUUGAGACUGAAUUAGAUCUUCUCUUUGUUGAAGAGAUCCACUUCCAUCAGAAUACAUCCUCAUACAGUAUCACUGUUGAAGUAUAUAAUGAACUCCUGGUUCUGCUCACUUCCCUCAGCAUCAGUUCCUGUAAGUCUCUCCAAUCCUCUCUGUCUUCAUCCUGCUGGUCAUUUCUUACAGAACAAUAAUAUUCCAUAACGUUCAUAUACCACAAUUUACUCAACCAUUCUCCCAUUGAUGGGCAUCCAUUCAUUUUUUGAGGGCAAAUCUAGGAAAAAAUACCUCUAGGUAUGUGACCCAUGUUCACUUCAGCAAAACCUUUCCAGAUUAGGUAAGAGUGCACAUUAACUCUCGUUUCUCUGCCAAAUAAACAGGUCAAAUAAUUUGACUUUGCUUAUUAUGUGUGGAUGAGCACCAAACAUAGAGUGCAAGCCUUGAGUUUAAAUGGCACCUUUGCUAGGUGGGUGCUAAUUCUACUAGAUAGAGGACCUUAGGCAAGUAAGAACCUCUCUUGGCUUUUUCUGUGUAGUGAGAAUUACAAAAGACCUUUCCCCCGGUGCAAGCCUAAAUACUUGUUUAAGGAGGCGGGGAAAGGAAUGAAUCUAUUCCUUUCUCUAUAGAGUUAAGGGAGAAUUUUUUGAGAAGUAGCUGAGAAUGAAUGGUGAGGAGAGCACAGAUUAUAGCAGUUAUACUAAAAAGACAAAGAACAGAGAAUCCAAGAGGUUAGAGAAAGAACCAGCAAGCACCAUUAAUGGAGAAUCAGAAUAACUGUAGGGCAACAUGGUGAGGGUCCAAUGGGUGGCCAGAGCAUCUUCAUGGAAGAUUGCCCCUGGCGUGCCUUGAAAAGGAUCAUACGGGUCCCUUGGGGAGGCUGGAGAUAGAUCCAAGAAAAUGGGACAAGAGCUCUCUUCAUUUUCUAUGGACUUGGACUGGAAUUCUUUUUUGUGUUUUUAAUGGAAAAAUUAAACUUCAUCUAUGUUUUGAAGCCUUAAGAACCUGAGUGCUUGUAAGAGGAACCUAGUGACUACCCUUUGUGAAGGCUAGAUGAUGAAGUAAGUUCCUAGGUUUUAUGUGAUGGGGAGCAAUGAGCCAAGGAAGGAAGGAAAUAGGCACAUAAUAAGCACCUGCUGUGUGCCAGGCACUGAGCUAAGCACUUUACAAAUAUCAUCUCAUUUAAUCCUCACAAUUCUGGUACGUCACUAUCCCUAUUAUACAAAGGAAGAACCGAGUCAGACAGGAGUUCAGUCAUUUGCCCAGCUAGUAAGUAUCUAAACCUUCCUGACUCCUGGUCUGGUGCUUUUUACACUAUGGCACCCACUAAUUGCACAGACUGUAUCUGAGCUGCUUGUGUCUGGAGUCAGCCUCUUGAUGCUGGAGUAGACUUUCUGAGAUGCCAUAAUUCUGUGGGACGUCGUAGUAAGGGCUGACUGCCUCCAGCACCUGCCUCCAUCCCUCCUGACCCUGAUCACAAAAACCAGGUCCCCAGAUGACAUCAGGAACCAGAGGAAGCAGUUCUGGCCACUUGAUAAAGGAGUUUGCUUUAUUUACUUGUGCAGGGACAUAUGAGAAUGGCACAGAGGCAAGGGAUGGGAAUGGGGGGAGGUGUGCAUUUGGAACCAGAAGGCAUGAGUUCAAAUUCCACUUUUACCUGUGUGAUUUUGGAUAAAUCACUUCAAAACUCUCCAGGUCUCAUUUUCUCUCCUCUAAGUAAGAUAAGGGGGCACUGAUGGACCUUGCUGUUUUCCACCAGCUUCUGAGCUGUAAUCCUGUGAGGAAACCUCAGUUGGGAAACUCGGGACACAAAAAAGCAGUUUUAGGGUGGAUGUGUUAGGGUUCUGUGACCUCCUAGCUUGCUCUUGCCAAGUUCAGAUCAUGCCAGUGUCACUUCAGCAUCAUUCACACUGAUUUCAUCAAAGCAGAGGCAAUACAUGACAGCUAAUAGAAGUUACCAUUCCCCCAAACAGUGGAAAGUCCAGAUCAACAAAACCUCUGUCUGCUGAUUAUUGUUCCAGCCUUAGGAAGGGGAGAGGAGACCAAGAAACAAGGUAGAGAUGAAGUAAAAAUGGAAGAAAAGACUCAGGAGAGCAGCUAUGACUCCUGAUAUGUCCAACCUCAAGAAGGGAGGGAAGUGGGUAGGAUAGAAUUGCUGCAUAAUAAUUCAUCAUAAUCUGGAAACUCCUGAAGCAGAUGGAAAAUGUUUCAUGAUCAGAUGAUGUUCUUUUUGUUUAUUUAGCAUUUUGUUUUUCCCCAAUUACAUAUAAAAACAAAAUUUUUAGCUUUUUAUUUUCAAAAUAUAUGCAUGGAUAGUUUUUAGUAUUUGCCCUUGCAAAAUCUUGUGUUCCAAUUUGUUUUCUCCUCCCUUCCUCCCACCCUCUCCCCUAGACAACAAAUAAUCCAUAUAUAUUUGACAUGAAUAAUUCUUCUAAACAUAUCUCCACAAUGAUCAUGCCGCACAAGAAAAAUCAGAUAAAAAAGGAAAAAAAUGAGAAAGAAAACAAAAAGCAAACAAACAACAAAAACGUGAAAAUAUCAUGUUGUGAUCCACACUCAGUCCCCACAGUCUUCUCUCUGGAUGCAGAUGGCUCUCUUCAUCACAAGAUCAUUAAAACUGGCCUGAAUCACUUCACUGUGGAAAAGAGCCAUGUCUAUCAUAGUUGAUUAUAAUAUAAUCAUCUUGUUGCUGUGUAUAAUGUUCUCUUGGUUCUACUCACUUCACUCAGCAUCAGUUCCUGUAAGUCUCUCCAGGCCUUUCUGUAUUCAUCCUGCUGAUCAUUUCUUACAGAACAUUAAUAUUCCAUAACAUUCAUAUACCAUAACUUAUUCAAUUCUCCAACUGAUGGGCAUCCACUCAGUUUCCAUUUCCUUGCCUCUACAAAAAGGGCUGCCACAAACAGUUAAAAACAAAUUUUAAUGAAAAAUUUUAAUACUUGUUUUUAAAACUUUGAGUUCCAAAUUCAUUCCCUUCCUUUCUUCUCACCCCCCUCACAGAGAAGGUAAGCAAUUUGAUAUAGGGUACAUGUGUGUAGGCAUGCAAAACAUUUAAAUAUUAGUAGUCAUGUUGUGAAAGAGAAAACAGACAAAAAAGCCUCAAGAAAAAUAAAGUUUAAAAAGGAUGCUUCAAUUUAUUUCUCUGGAGAUGGAUAGCAUUUUUCAUCAUAAAUCCUUCAAAAUUGUCUAGAUUGUUGAGAAUAGCUAAAUCAUUCUUCACAGGUGAUCCUCUUACAAUAUCACUGUUACUAUUGUUAACUGUAUUUCCCUCAACCCUAUUUCCCUCCAUUUUAUUCUAUUCUCUCUCUCUCUCCCCUUUCAUCUUGUUUUUCCUCAAAAGUGUUUUGUUUAUGACUACCACUUUCCCCAAUCUGCCCUCCUUAACCUGGGAACUGAAAUUUGGUUAUAAUAUUACUGGGAAUUUUCAUUUUGGGAUCUCUUUCAGAAUGUGAUUAGUGGAUUCUUACAACUUAUAUUUUACUUUCUGGUUCUAGACUCUCAGGGAA